UUACCGUAGAGCAGCUGGUAUAAGUUGGUUCCUCUCUCCAGUCUCAAGGCUGAGCUAUGGUGAGAGAUGAAUUACAGAGACUCCUGUGGGGAGGAGCCUUCAGAGUCCUAAGACCAUGCUCAAGAAUUUUCCAGUUCUCCUCACUGACAUGUGACCACUCUGUUGGCCAGCCCCACACUUCCACUGCCUCCUCAUGGGGUUCCGUGAUCACGGGCACUAACUUCUGCACUAAGGUGAAUGGCCGCUUAACCUUAUCACGGUGGAAAUGGUAGUUUUAGGGUGAUUGAUAUCCUGGGAAAGGUGAACAGAUAAGCAGAAAGGCCUGUGGCAUCCCACUAAUGUUCAUUCUUUCGGAAUUCUGAAAUUAAUCACCAGGUGGUGGGACAACUGAUUUUUUUUUUCUUUCUGGUUUUCCAAAUACUGUUUCUUCUCUGUAAAUCCAAAGUGAACAUCUGACAUUGAUUUGAAAGAAGUUAAUGAAUUCCAAGGAAAUGUGUUCCAGGGCUUCUGCUGCUCCAUAUACGUUUGUACUUAGUGGGGAAAUGUGCCUAGUUUUCUUAAUUAUAAUGUCCAGUCACAAGGACGAAUAGAAGUGAUUUCUAUUUGGCAAAUAAUUUUAUAUUCAAAUUCUGAAGGUUGGUCUGAAGUGUUUUAUAUCGCCGGUCAUAAACUGUCUGGCGUUAUAAUUUUCCAUUAAGCUUAUGAAAGUGGCUGCAGUAAUACCUCUUUCCAUGCCCUUCUCAAGACGUGGCACCUUGUCAGGGCUUUUUGGGAAUGGUGUCCUUUGGAGAGCGACUCCAACCUUUGCUUGAUUCAAGCUAAUGCUUUGAUCAGAUCAGGGUCAGAGGGUUCAGCUCGCCACUGCCUGCAAGAGGAUUUGAUUUGGCCAACUCUGUUUCCUUACUGUCCACAGCCUCCUCUGGUAAAGACUCAAACUGUCACCAUCUCAGAUACUGCCAAUGCUGUGAAAAGUGAAAUCCCAACCAAAGAUGUCCCUAUUGUCCACACUGAGACCAAGACCAUCACCUAUGAAGCUGCCCAGGUAAGACACUGUCUGCUGCUUCGGAGAGAUGGGUAAGACACAGUGGCCCAUGAUAGAAUCCCCACACUGAGGGUGGAACAGGUGGUUGGGAGUUCGAGAGCCUCCCUGGGCUAGCCUGAAAGACCUUGAGUGGAAAAAGUAACAAGCAAAAAUGAAAAAAGGAGAGGAAACGACAUAAACACACAUCAGAUACUAAACAGUUCUAUAACAAAACUCAAAUGGGAUAGAGAGAAUUCAAGGAGCGGGGGAUGCAGCUCAGUGGUAGAACACAGAGCAUAGGGGCAGCAGGGUAGCUCUGGCUCAGCCCUGAAGAUCUCUUCAGGCAGUCUGCCCAUCACCAUGAGCCACUUGAUGCUUCGUCCUCAGGAAGCUUGGGUUGUGUGCUUUACAAUUUGACAUAGCAUUGUCUCCCCUGAGAGGAGCACUUGCUUGCUAGAUAAUCCUAGACCAGUCACCAACCUCCCCUCACUGGCUCUGACUUGGGACAGGAUGACACCCCACUGCAGAAUUGCAAGAAGUUUAGGUGAGAUGGCUCUGCAGAGCACUGGCGUCUCCAUGAUGUUCCUUCCGUCAGUGUCUGUGUCUCCUCUCUCUCGGUGUGGUCCAGUGACAAGUUGCUUCGAGGUUCUGGGUGGAGGGUGAUAAAGUAGCAUUAUUAAAGCAAUGGCCUUUUUAAGAUGAUCCCCAGAGCUGCGUGAUGACUGUAUUAAAGUAGGGACAGGCCUGGAGACAAGGUUAUGACCAGGGCAGAUCUGGGGAGAUGAUCAUAGGAACAGAAGUAAGUAUAGCCUUAGGAAGUGAAGGGAAAGACCUGCCAGUCAAUAGGGAGAGAAAAGCUAUCAAGUAGGCCUUAGCAGUGGAGGUGACUGAAGAAGAAGGAAAAGAAGAAAAAGAAACAAGCCAGUGUUAUAAUUGUACGUACGCAGAAAAGAAUGACUUACAUAUGCAAAGGAUGUGCAUGCUUUAAAUUGUCACUGCCUUGGAAGCAACCUAAAUGGCCUUCAGUGGUGGGCGCUGGUUAAAUAAGUUAUGGAGUAUCGUCCUGAGGAACUUCUGUGUGGCUUCUGCUGUGGGAGUUAGCACUGCGGCCAAACUGUAAAAUGAAUUGUUUUAAUAUAAACAUAUAGAGUGAAUUAAUCCGGCAGCUCUGCUUCUUCACCACUGCCAGUCCCCAUUAACCACAUAGAGAAGCCAUGGUUUAUUUCACCAUGCACCUCAAUACCUGGGUAGUUAAAUGAUCAACCUUAACCUCCCAUGCUAAUCCGGCUGCCUCCCGGCCCCGCCUCAUGAUGCCUGACUUUAAUAUUGUUCUAGCCUUCUCUGCUUCAGAAGUUUCUUCCCGUGGUGUCCUCUCGGACACUCUCUUCCUGGCUCCAGUCUGAAUUCCUCUCCCCUCUGCUGGUGGAAGUUCCCACCCUAUUCUCUCUUCUGCCCGGCCAUUGGGUAUCAGCAUUUAUUGACAAGGCAGAGAAUAAAUAGUAAGAAUUGUUGGGGUUGGGCAUUUAGCUCAGUGGUACAGCGCUUGCCUGGCAGGCACGAGGCCCUGGGUUCAGUUCUCAUCUC
rnacentral:lncRNA from 1 species